UGAGCUUGAUCCUGGCUCAGGACGAACGCUGGCGGCGUGCCUAAUACAUGCAAGUCGAGCGCAGGAAGCCGGCGGAUCCCUUCGGGGUGAAGCCGGUGGAAUGAGCGGCGGACGGGUGAGUAACACGUGGGCAACCUACCUUGUAGACUGGGAUAACUCCGGGAAACCGGGGCUAAUACCGGAUGAUCAUUUGGAUCGCAUGAUCCGAAUGUAAAAGUGGGGAUUUAUCCUCACACUGCAAGAUGGGCCCGCGGCGCAUUAGCUAGUUGGUAAGGUAAUGGCUUACCAAGGCGACGAUGCGUAGCCGACCUGAGAGGGUGAUCGGCCACACUGGAACUGAGACACGGUCCAGACUCCUACGGGAGGCAGCAGUAGGGAAUCAUCCGCAAUGGGCGAAAGCCUGAACGGUGCAAACGCCGCGUGAACGAUGAAGGUUUUCGGAUCGUAAAGUUCUGUUAUGAGGGAAGAAACAAGUGCCGUUCGAAUAGGUCGGCACCUUGACGGUACCUC
rnacentral:rRNA from 1 species